rnacentral:rRNA from 1 species
GCGUGUGGGAUGACGGCCUUCGGGUGUAAACCACUGUCGGAGGGACGAAUGCGCCGCAAGGCGAGUGACGGUACCUCCAAAGGAAGCACCGGCUAACUCCGUGCCAGCAGCCGCGGUAAUACGGGAGGGUGCGAGCGUUGUCCGGAAUCACUGGGCGUAAAGGGCGCGUAGGCGGCCUGGUAAGUAGGGAGUGAAAUCCUGCGGCUUAACCGCAGGGCUGCCUUCUAAACUGUCAGGCUCGAGCACGGUAGAGGCAGAUGGAAUUCCGGUGUAGCGUGGAAUGCGUAGAGAUCGAGAAGAACAUCAGUGGCGAAGGCGGUCUGCUGGGCCGUUGCUGACGCUGAGGCGCGACAGCGUGGGGAGCAAACAGGAUUAGAUACCCUGGUAGUCCACGCCGUAAACGAUGGGCACUAGGCGUCGGGGGGAGCGACCCUCCCGGUGCCGUCGCUAACGCAGUAAGUGCCCCGCCUGGGGAGUACGGCCGCAAGGCUG